GAUGAACGCUGGCGGCGUGCUUAACACAUGCAAGUCGAACGAUGAAGCCCAGCUUGCUGGAUGGAUUAGUGGCGAACGGGUGAGUAACACGUGAGUAACCUGCCCUUAACUCUGGGAUAAGCCUGGGAAACUGGGUCUAAUACCGGAUAGGAGCGUCCACCGCAUGGUGGGUGUUGGAAAGAUUUAUCGGUUUUGGAUGGACUCGCGGCCUAUCAGCUUGUUGGUGAGGUAAUGGCUCACCAAGGCGACGACGGGUAGCCGGCCUGAGAGGGUGACCGGCCACACUGGGACUGAGACACGGCCCAGACUCCUACGGGAGGCAGCAGUGGGGAAUAUUGCACAAUGGGCGCAAGCCUGAUGCAGCGACGCCGCGUGAGGGAUGACGGCCUUCGGGUUGUAAACCUCUUUCAGUAGGGAAGAAGCGAAAGUGACGGUACCUGCAGAAGAAGCACCGGCUAACUACGUG
rnacentral:rRNA from 1 species